AAGAGCUUAGUUAAAUAUAAUAUAGACUUGUCAAGUCUAAGUUGCUUUUUAAAGGCAGCUCUUG
rnacentral:tRNA from 1 species